rnacentral:sRNA from 1 species
AAGUCGGUAUAUAAAUCGGCGGCCUUAUC